AGUGAACGCUGGCGGUAGGCCUAACACAUGCAAGUCGAACGGCAGCACAGUAAGAGCUCGCUCUUACGGGUGGCGAGUGGCGGACGGGUGAGGAAUACAUCGGAAUCUACUUUUUCGUGGGGGAUAACGUAGGGAAACUUACGCUAAUACCGCAUACGACCUACGGGUGAAAGCAGUGGAUCUUCGGACCUUGCGCGAUUGAAUGAGCCGAUGUCGGAUUAGCUAGUUGUCGGGGUAAAGGCCCACCAAGGCGACGAUCCGUAGCUGGUCUGAGAGGAUGAUCAGCCACACUGGAACUGAGGCACGGUCCAGACUCCUACGGGAGGCAGCAGUGGGGAAUAUUGGACAAUGGGCGCAAGCCUGAUCCAGCCAUACCGCGUGGGUGAAGAAGGCCUUCGGGUUGUAAAGCCCUUUUGUUGGGAAAGAAAAGCAGCAGGUUAAUACCCCGCUGUUCUGACGGUACCCAAAGAAUAAGCACCGGCUAACUUCGUG
rnacentral:rRNA from 1 species